rnacentral:piRNA from 1 species
UUUGCCUGUUUGGAUACGUGGUCUCAGC